rnacentral:tRNA from 1 species
GCCGAGGUGGCGGAAUUGGUAGACGCGCUGGCUUCAGGUGCCAGUGAGGGAAACCUCGUGAAGGUUCAAGUCCUUUCCUCGGCACCA